UGCAUGGUGUCAUGACAUAAUUAUU
rnacentral:sRNA from 1 species